UACGGAGGGUGCAAGCGUUGCUCGGAAUUAUUGGGCGUAAAGGGUAGGUAGGUGGUCUCAUUUGUCAGGGGUGAAAGCCUUGGGCUUAACCCAAGAAGUGCCCCUGAAACGGUGAGACUAGAGUCCUGGAGAGGGUCGUGGAAUUCCCGGUGUAGCGGUGAAAUGCGUAGAGAUCGGGAGGAACACCAGAGGCGCAAGCGGCGGCCUGGACAGGAACUGACACUCAACUACGAAAGCGUGGGGAGCAAACAGG
rnacentral:rRNA from 1 species